rfam:Thioclava dalianensis strain DLFJ1-1 contig50, whole genome shotgun sequence.
GGGCGGUUAGCUCAGUUGGUAGAGCGCUUCGUUUACACCGAAGAUGCCGGGGGUUCGAGUC